AUUGAACGCUGGCGGCAUGCUUUACACAUGCAAGUCGAACGGUAACAGGGUGCUUGCACCGCUGACGGGUGGCGAACGGGUGAGUAAUACAUCGGAAUGUACCCAGUAAUGGGGGAUAACGCUUCGAAAGGAGUGCUAAUACCGCAUACGCCCUGAGGGGGAAAGUGGGGGACCGCAAGGCCUCACGUUAUUGGAGCAGCCGAUGGCUGAUUAGCUAGUUGGUGAGGUAAAGGCUCACCAAGGCGACGAUCAGUAGCGGGUCUUAGAGGACGAUCCGCCACACUGGAACUGAGACACGGUCCAGACUCCUACGGGAGGCAGCAGUGGGGAAUCUUGGACAAUGGGCGAAAGCCUGAUCCAGCAAUGCCGCGUGCGUGAAGAAGGCCUUCGGGUUGUAAAGCGCUUUUGUCUGGGAGGAAGGGCAGUAAGUUAAUACCUUGCUGUUUUGACGUUACCAACAGAAUAAGCACCGGCUAACUUCGUGCAAGCCGCCGCGGUAACAC
rnacentral:rRNA from 1 species